rnacentral:tRNA from 1 species
UUAUUAGUAGUAUAAACAUUUACACUGGUCUUGUAAAUCAGAAAAGCAAAUCACGCCUAAUAAU